rnacentral:rRNA from 1 species
UACGACUACAUAUCAGGCAUAUCAAUAAGCGGAGGAAAAGAAACUAACUAGGAUUCCCUUAGUAACGGCGAGUGAAGCAGGAAGAGCUCAAAUUUGAAAUCUUCAAGGUUUUACCUUGACGAAUUGUAGUUUAAAGAAGUGUUUUCUGUUGAAGUUUUGGUAAAAGUUCUUUGGAAUAGGACAUCAUAGAGGGUGAGAAUCCCGUAUUUGACCAUUAUUUUCAGCUGUGUGAUACACUUUCAAAGAGUCGGAUUGUUUGGGAAUGCAGUCCAAAAUGGGUGGUAAAUUUCAUCUGAAGCUAAAUAUUGGCGAGAGACCGAUAGCGAACAAGUACCGUGAGGGAAAGAUGAAAAGAACUUUGAAAAGAGAGUUAAACAGUACGUGAAAUUGUCAAAAGGGAAGCGUUUGACACCAGUGUUGUUUUCUCGAAAAUCAAUUAAAAAAAGUUGGAUUUUGUGUUGUAUUGACCUUAACAGCUUGCUUCACUCUUUUCCAGCUUUUUUUAAUGCACUUUUCGUUUAACAAGUCAACAUCAGUUUCUUUUGUUGUAAAAGGGUCAUUGGAAGGUGGCUUUCUCUUCGGAGAAAGUGUUUAUAGCCUUUGAUCUCUGCAAUCGGAGAGACUGAGGUCUGCAGCGUAGAUCCUUCGGGGUUAGAUACAUUUGUGCUAAGCUACAGCUUUUCAUAGACAACUUGUUGACUAUGUUUAGUCUUGUGACUUACCCGCUUAUGCUAUUUUACCUACGCUUAGGAUGUUGAGCGCAUGUCUCUCUC